UCUCCAAAUAUUCCUGAACUCCUGGUUUAAAGACUUCCUGAUACUUCCAGAAUUAGGGUUCCAUUAGAGGACCGGAUGGACCAGAAGAGACCGGUGGUCAGAGAAGGGACUGUAGCAAGGCUGGAGAUCGGGGAAGAGACAACAAGAGUCGGUUUAGGCAUCAGGUGACAUUCUAGAAAAGUAGCUGAGCAGUUUUCAAGCAACACUUGUGAAGGGUUGUUGCAAGGAUUACCUGUGUUAAAAUAUAUGUGACAUGUUCAGAAUAGCGUGCUGAGCACAUGUAUACAUGCUGUCGAAGCAAGAACUCGGGAAUGUGUUUUGAAUGGAUGAAUAGAUGCAUGAAAGGCAGACCUGUAAGGUAUCGAUGUGGUUUGGAAUUCUGGGGUCCAGAGCCGAUGGCCAAGAAAGAAUUCUUGAGAUGUCUUUGGUGAAAAAGGUGGUUUUAUUGAAGCGUGGGGUCAGGUCCCAUGGGCAGAAAGAACUGGUGCCCUAGGACUGUGAGGAGCAACUGAUUGUGUAUUUUGGAGUUGGGGGAAGGAAAGAUAAAGGGAAGUUUCCACGAGGAUUUUCAAAUGCUAAAGAAGACUCACAGGAUCCUGGAGGCCUAGGUAUUGUCAAGCUAAUAUUGUUUUUCCCUCUAGCAAAGUAUUAACAUUAAGACAGUUGGGAGUUUCCUGAAGGAAUGUUAUACUCCACCUGCCUCAAGUAUUUGUGGUGGGCUACAGGUUAUAAGGAAAUUUAAUUUUACCUGCAUUUCUUUCUGCCUUUGUUCUCCCUGUCAGGUAUCUUUCUUAGGUCUUGAUUGUUGCUUUGCAAGAAAAUAUGGAAUUUUGUGAUUUUUCAACAAUGAUAUUUGUGUCCUUAAUAUCAAAUGGCACAAUAUUCAUUUUCUGUGACCUCAAGAAUACAUUUUAAUUUUUGUUUCAAUUGGAAUCAUAGUGCUAUCUUUUUAAAAGACAUAGAAAAAGCCAAUGACACUCGACACAUAUACAAACAACUAUGCACAUACAUCAAUUGAAGUGACAAUAAUGUGGGCAUCCAUGGUUGAAAUCACACAAGCACAAAGAAUGACUUUUACCUCACAGAUGCUCCCUAGUCAACAGAGACUACAAAUUAUUCCCUUGUUUUGGGUUGCUCUGAGCCUCUUGAUUAUGAUGCUGUAAGGUAGAAAUGCCUGGGGCACUCACCUGUGCCCGGACUAGUUUGAGCCCUCACAGACAUUUCCUGAUUGGAGACAAUACUCUUCCUGGACUGAACCUUGUGGUUCGUACUAUGAUGGCAGAACACACCUCAGCAACAACCAUCAGGAAACUUUGAAACAAAGUUUCUUACUCACAAGUCCUAGAGGAUGCAUAGCACACCCAGGGCCACAGAUAAGGUAGCAGUAAGAAAGAGAGAGAGAAAGAGAGAAAGAAAGAGACAGAGAGACAGACCUAGAGUUUUCCAGGUUCACUAUUAAUUGGUGAAUUUAAAACAGAAGAGUGGGACGUAAGCCUGGAGAAGGGAAAGCAGGGUUACUCAGACAGGGCUUUUUAAAGGGGAAACUCAUGGGUGGGGAGGCCUGGCUCUUUAUCUGGUUGUGUAGCUGCCGAUGUGUUUAUUUGAGAUGGAUGUCUUUGAAAUGGAUGCCUUGACAACCAAAGCUUAAUGUCAAUCACUGACAGUACAAUAAAAAAAGCUAAUGGUCAGGCAUUUACACUACACAUCUAUUGUAAGACAUUUCCUAAUUUCAGAGCUGUUAAAACAUAGAAAAUGCAUUUUGGAACUAAGAAAUGCAACAUUGAGCAUUUAUCACUGGCUAAGUGCUUUACAUAGAAUUUAUGUAAUCAUUGCAAAUCGGGAUUACCACUUUUCAUCUCUAUUUUGCGGAUGAGAGAAUUGACGCUCAUGGAGGUAUAUAACUUGCCCUUCGUCAUAAAACUGGCAAAUUGAGGAACUGAGAUUUUAACAAAACUCUGCCUGAUAGAGCACCCAAACUCCUUACCACUGUGCUAUCCUUGCUCUGGGGACUGGAAUGAAGGAGUCCAAAGCUGCUUUAAAGUUAGUAUGGCUCUCCAAAAUCACUUUGACAUUAUUUUUGUUCUAAACUAUUUGCUUGCUCUUCAAGCAAACUCCAUUGUAUGAUUUAGAGUAAGUAUUCGCUAUACAUUUGUAGAAUGAAUAAAAGCUGUUAUAAUCUGUUCUGAGUAUUCAAUGUCCAUAAUAUGCCAAAGUUAUGUUAUGGGAAAAUACAACUGUUGAGAAAAGACUUGUAAUAGGAACUUACUUUCAUAAAGAUGUAUGUAAAAGUCCAGAUAGUUUGGAUAACUCUCCAGGGCCCAACAGUGUUAUCCAUUACUGCUAUAUUAAAAUGUAUUAAAUACCACUUAAAAGGUAUUACUUGACAGUCAACAAAUAAUAGACCGCUUUGUGAUCAUCCUUAUUUUGAAUACAUAUU